GUUUAGUCGCUUCACAACCUUUUCUUUUCUUUUUCUUUACAACACAAUUUACAACGGUGGUAAAGAGUGCGUUGUAGGCGAUCCGUGAGAGGGGUCUCCGUACUUUCUUAAGGGAGCUCAAGGAUGAUGGCUUCACGAAAUGCUUCUUCGAUGGAAACCUUCUUGUGAUAUUGCUUCCUACUGAAGCGGCUUGUUUGAUUGCUUCCUCCACCCACAGUUGAUCGUAUUCUUUUCACACAAUCACUAACAAUAUGUCAGGUGUUCCACCAACGGGUGCUUCUUCUCAAGCUUCUCGAGGAAGCAAAAGAAAAUGGGUUCCAGAAGAGGAUGCAGCCUUGGUUUCUUGCAUGGUGGAUUUGCAUAAUGUAGGAACAUUUAAUGCUGAUACCGGGUUCAAAGCCGGUUAUUUGAAUGAGCUAGAGAAAAUGCUAGAAAAGCCUUUACCAAGAGCAAUGUUGAAGGCGAGACCAAAUA